AAUUCAAGAGGACACUGGUCCAUGGCUAUCUUUCUUUUCUUACUGUAUCUUGUAACUUCUGUGGUGCUUUAUCGAGAUUUACCAGACACAGGAAGAAGAUGGCCAUCUAAAAGUCAAAAGAAGAAGCCUGGAACAGAUUUUUCCCUCACAGUUCUCAGAAGGAGCCAGUGGUGCCGACAACUUGAUCUAGUCUCCAGAGCUAUACCACAACCAAUUCCACUUAUUUAAGCCACCUAGGUUGUGGUACCUCGCUACAGCAUCACCUAGAAAAUUAAUGCACCUUCAUUACCCAGAGAUAACCUCAGUAAACACUUACUAUACAUUUAAAAAUCUGUGGCCUAUUUCUGUUUACUUAUUCAAAUAUUUUUUUUUCACAUAACACUAAAUUUUGAACAAAUUUUUCAGUCUAUGGCGGUGACGUCUUGUGCCCUACCCUGAAGUCCAUUUUUCCUUCCUCCCAGUAACAAUGCUCUAAUUUUAGUGCUCAAUCAAAAGAUAACAUUUGCAGCCUCCCUUGGGCCAUGUGCUUAUUUAUCUAAAUUCUGGACAAAAUGAUGUUAGCAGAAAUGUUGUAUUGGACUGUAAAGAACUGCAAAGUUUCUAAAAUUUUGCACUACUUGAAAGCAAAAAAGAAACCCUUCCACAGAAAGGUGGUUUUCUUGUCCCAGUUUUCUGAGUGCCAAUUCCCACAGGGCCAGAAGAGGAUGAGACACUUACAGAGCCUAAAACUUUUAUAAUGGUCAGUGAACCUGCACACCCUUUGUGUAGGACAGAAAUGCUGUUUCUACCUUGCAAGGCUGCUUCCUAUAAAAAAUUCUUAAAACGAUAGACCACCAGCCAACGUUUUGAGGAUGCAUUCAUAUUUUCAGAAUGACAGUAGGAAGAGAGGAAACUGAGCUCCAUACUAGUCCUGGCCUAUGCACCCCCCCAGACUUCUUUUAUGGCUGAGGAAAUUAAACUUCUUUAGUUAAAUCACUUAUUUUGGGAAUUUUCUGUGGUGCUGUCCAAUCCUAGGUCUAACUGGCAUGCAGUCAAUAAAACUUACAUUUAAAACUUCAUUUUUCAGCCGGGCACAGUGGCUCACAUGUGUAAUCCCAGCACCAAGUCAGGUGCAUCACCUGAGGUCAGGAAUUUGAGACCAGACUGGCCAACAUCGUGAAACCCUGUCUCUAUUAAAAUACAAAAUUAUUUUACUCUAUUAAAAAUACAAAAUUUAGCCGGGCGCGGUGGCGGGCACCUGUAAUCCCAGCUACUCGUAAGGCUGAGGCCGGAGAAUCAUUUGAACUCAGGAGGCAGAGGUUGCAGUGAGCCGAGGUGGCGCCAUUGCACUCCAGCCUGGGCAACAAGAGUGAAACUCCAUCUCAAAAAUAAAUAAAUAAAUAAAUAAAUAAAUAAAUAAAUAAAUAAAUAAAUAAAAUAAAAUAAAAUACUUCAUUUUUCAUAAUGACAAAGAAGUAAAUCAUAUAAUCAUACCAUCAUUUCCUUAGUUAAACCCAUUAUUGUACUCCCC
rnacentral:lncRNA from 1 species